rnacentral:rRNA from 1 species
ACGGAAGGCAGCAGUGGGGAAUAUUGCACAAUGGGCGAAAGCCUGAUGCAGCGACGCCGCGUGAGUGAAGAAGUAUCUCGGUAUGUAAAGCUCUAUCAGCAGGGAAGAAAAUGACGGUACCUGACUAAGAAGCCCCGGCUAACUACGUGCCAGCAGCCGCGGUAAUACGUAGGGGGCAAGCGUUAUCCGGAUUUACUGGGUGUAAAGGGAGCGUAGACGGUUUGGCAAGUCUGAAGUGAAAUGCGGGGGCUCAACUCCUGAACUGCUUUGGAAACUGUCGAACUAGAGUGCAGGAGAGGUAAGUGGAAUUCCUAGUGUAGCGGUGAAAUGCGUAGAUAUUAGGAGGAACACCAGUGGCGAAGGCGGCUUACUGGACUGUAACUGACGUUGAGGCUCGAAAGCGCGGGGAGCAAACAGGAUUAGAUACCCUGGUA